rnacentral:misc_RNA from 1 species
UCCGGUUUGUCACCGGCAGUCUCCUUAGAGUUCCCACCCGAAGUGCUGGCAAAUAAGGACAAGGGUUGCGCUCGUUACGGGACUUAACCCAACAUCUCACGACACGAGCUGACGACAGCCAUGCAGCACCUGUCUCUCGGUUCCCGAAGGCACCAAGGCAUCUCUGCCAAGUUCCGAGGAUGUCAAGACCUGGUAAGGUUCUUCGCGUUGCGUCGAAUUAAACCACAUGCUCCACCGCUUGUGCGGGCCCCCGUCAAUUCAUUUGAGUUUUAAUCUUGCGACCGUACUCCCCAGGCGGUCAACUUAGCGCGUUAGCUUCGUCACUCAGGAGACAAGCUCCCCAACGACUAGUUGACAUCGUUUACGGCGUGGACUAC